UACCAGCACCCCGAGUGGUCGGGACGAUUAUUGGGCCUAAAGCAUCCGUAGCCGGUUCUACAAGUCUUCCGUUAAAUCCACCUGCUUAACAGAUGGGCUGCGGAGGAUACUAUGGAGCUAGGAGGCGGGAGAGGCAAGCGGUACUUAGUGGGUAGGGGUAAAAUCCGUUGAUCCAUUGAAGACCACCAGUGGCGAAGGCGGCUUGCCAGAAUGCGCUCGACGGUGAGGGAUGAAAGCUGGGGGAGCAAACGGG
rnacentral:rRNA from 1 species